GAUGAACGCUGGCGGCGUGCCUAAUACAUGCCAGUCGAGCGAACGGACGAGAAGCUUGCUUCUCUGAUGUUAGCGGCGGACGGGUGAGUAACACGUGGAUAACCUACCUAUAAGACUGGGAUAACUUCGGGAAACCGGAGCUAAUACCGGAUGAUAUUUUGAACCGCAUGGUUCAAAAGUGAAAGACGGUCUUGCUGUCACUUAUAGAUGGAUCCGCGCUGCAUUAGCUAGUUGGUAAGGUAACGGCUUACCAAGGCAACGAUGCAUAGCCGACCUGAGAGGGCGAUCGGCCACACUGGAACUGAGACACGGUCCAGACUCCUACGGGAGGCAGCAGUAGGGAAUCUUCCGCAAUGGGCGAAAGCCUGACGGAGCAACGCCGCGUGAGUGAUGAAGGUCUUCGGAUCGUAAAACUCUGUUAUUAGGGAAGAACAUAUGUGUAAGUAACUGUGCACAUCUUGACGGUACCUAAUCAGAAAGCCACGGCUAACUACGUG
rnacentral:rRNA from 1 species